rnacentral:antisense_RNA from 1 species
ACUAAAAAAUACAAAAAAUAAGUCAGGCGUGGUGGCACGUGCCUGUGGUCCCGC